rnacentral:rRNA from 1 species
CGCGUAGAAACUGCCCAGUAGUGGGGAGUAGCCCACGAGAAAUUUAGGUAGUUAAUUACCGCAUAAGCUCUACGGAGGAAAGGGGCCGUUUCGGCCUCUCGCUAUUGGAUGUGUCUGCGUGGGAGUUAGCUAGUUGGUGAGGUAAUGGCUCACCAAGGCGACGAUCUCUAGCUGGUCUGAGAGGAUGAUCAGCCACACUGGGACUGAGACACGGCCCAGACUCCUACGGGAGGCAGCAGUAGGGAAUCUUCCGCAAUGGACGCAAGUCUGACGGAGCAACGCCGCGUGAGUGACGAAGGU